rnacentral:rRNA from 1 species
ACGUAGGGUGCAAGCGUUAAUCGGAAUUACUGGGCGUAAAGCGUGCGUAGGCGGCUUUGCAAGACAGAUGUGAAAUCCCCGGGCUUAACCUGGGAACUGCAUUUGUGACUGCAUGGCUGGAGUGCGGCAGAGGGGGAUGGAAUUCCGCGUGUAGCAGUGAAAUGCGUAGAUAUGCGGAGGAACACCGAUGGCGAAGGCGACACCCUGGACCAGCACUGACACUGAGGCACGAAAGCGUGGGGAGCAAACAGGA